rnacentral:rRNA from 1 species
UGUAAGCGUAUACCAAAGUUGUUGCAGUUAAAACGCUCGUAGUCGGAAUUUGGCAGUUCCGGAAGUGUGCACGUCGUGUGCGCACUUUGCGGGGACUGCUUUUGUGGUCUUGCGUAGGAUGAGGCACUUUCAUUAGUGAACGUCCUCACGCAACCACUCUUUACUGUGAGAAAAUCGGAGUGCUCAAAGCAGGCAUUUGCCGUGAAUGUAUUAGCAUGGAAUAAUAGAAUAGGACUCGGUUCUAUUUUGUUGGUUUGUUGGGACUGAGUAAUGAUUAAGAGGGACAGUUGGGGGCAUUUGUAUUCCGGCGCUAGAGGUGAAAUUCUUAGAUUGCCGGAAGACAAACUGCUGCGAAAGCGUCUGCCGAGGAUGUUUUCAUUGA